rnacentral:lncRNA from 1 species
UAUUUCAACCCUUCUCUGAUACCAAUUGAAGGGAAAAAAAAUUGUUUCUCUUCAGAUAGUCCAGAUUGCAUCUAAAAUUUUUUAUUAAUCUACAUGAUUAAGGAUCAAAUUUUUACCUAAAAAGUAAUAAAAUUAGAGAUCAAAUCUCUAAAAAUCUGAAACAAACAUUCGUAGAAGCCUGGAUGUGCAAACCCUCUAUUUCGCAUGCACG